rfam:Bacillus subtilis subsp. subtilis str. 168 complete genome.
UUCUUAUCAAGAGCAGGCAGAGGGACGAGCCCGAUGAAGCCCGGCAACCGACUUAUAAAGCACGGUGCUAAUUCUUGCAGCUAGCGGCUGAGAGAUAAGAU